rnacentral:rRNA from 1 species
UACGAAGGGGGCUAGCGUUGCUCGGAAUCACUGGGCGUAAAGCGCACGUAGGCGGCUUUUUAAGUCAGGGGUGAAAUCCUGGAGCUCAACUCCAGAACUGCCUUUGAUACUGGGAAGCUUGAGUCCGGGAGAGGUGAGUGGAACUCCGAGUGUAGAGGUGAAAUUCGUAGAUAUUCGGAAGAACACCGGUGGCGAAGGCGGCCUGCUGGGCAGUUGCUGACACUGAGGCGCGACAGCGUGGGGAGCAAACAGG